AGAGCGAACGCUGGCGGCAGGCCUAAUACAUGCAAGUCGAACGGAUCCUUCGGGAUUAGUGGCGGACGGGUGAGUAACACGUGGGAACGUGCCCUUUGGUUCGGAACAACUCAGGGAAACUUGAGCUAAUACCGAAUGUGCCCUUCGGGGGAAAGAUUUAUCGCCAUUGGAGCGGCCCGCGUCUGAUUAGCUAGUUGGUGGGGUAAAGGCCCACCAAGGCGACGAUCAGUAGCUGGUCUGAGAGGAUGAUCAGCCACACUGGGACUGAGACACGGCCCAGACUCCUACGGGAGGCAGCAGUAGGGAAUCUUGCGCAAUGGGCGAAAGCCUGACGCAGCCAUGCCGCGUGAAUGAUGAAGGUCUUAGGAUUGUAAAAUUCUUUCAGCGGGGACGAUAAUGACGGUACCGCAGAAGAAGCCCGGCUAACUCGCGCCAGCAGCCGC
rnacentral:rRNA from 1 species